UGGCUCAGGAUGAACGCUGGCGGCGUGCUUAACACAUGCAAGUCGAACGGUGAAGCCAAGCUUGCUUGGUGGAUCAGUGGCGAACGGGUGAGUAACACGUGAGCAACCUGCCCUGGACUCUGGGAUAAGCGCUGGAAACGGCGUCUAAUACUGGAUAUGAGACGUGAUCGCAUGGUCGUGUUUGGAAAGAUUUUUCGGUCUGGGAUGGGCUCGCGGCCUAUCAGCUUGUUGGUGAGGUAAUGGCUCACCAAGGCGUCGACGGGUAGCCGGCCUGAGAGGGUGACCGGCCACACUGGGACUGAGACACGGCCCAGACUCCUACGGGAGGCAGCAGUGGGGAAUAUUGCACAAUGGGCGGAAGCCUGAUGCAGCAACGCCGCGUGAGGGAUGACGGCCUUCGGGUUGUAAACCUCUUUUAGCAGGGAAGAAGCGAAAGUGACGGUACCUGCAGAAAAAGCGCCGGCUAACUACGUGCCAGCAGCCGCGGUAAUACGUAGGGCGCAAGCGUUAUCCGGAAUUAUUGGGCGUAAAGAGCUCGUAGGCGGUUUGUCGCGUCUGCUGUGAAAUCCCGAGGCUCAACCUCGGGCCUGCAGUGGGUACGGGCAGACUAGAGUGCGGUAGGGGAGAUUGGAAUUCCUGGUGUAGCGGUGGAAUGCGCAG
rnacentral:rRNA from 1 species